CUGGUAACUGAUGAGCACACCUGAUGUCAGUUCCCUUGUAACUGGUAACCUCCCUUUGCCCCUGCUACCAAAGACUGCACGUCUUGCCCUGGUGUCUUUGCUGCUGUCUAUCGACUUGAUGGGGUGUUGCUCCAGGAUCCUGCUUCAGAUAAAUAAGCUCCCCCAUCCAUUAAAACAUUAAUGUCCCUGUUGCUGCCUUAGAGCUCUUUCUUCAGUCUUGAGGCUGGGUGUGGCGCAAGGUCUGAGGACAACUUCUCAGUGAUCCUUGAAACACCUGACACCAGUCAGGACCACACUGACAGCCACAGAGCCAGAUGGUUACCAAAGUCCACUCCUGUGCAGCCAUCUGCAGUCCGCUAGAUCUUCAGUAAAGGAGCCUUUAUAUUUGUUAUCCAUGGGGAGCUUGGUCUUGUAGAAAUCAAUCGGCCACUACCAGAAGCAGAAUCUUGAAGAGUGAAUUCUCUUAGGAAUCUUACUGAUCAGCUGGCAGCUAUAGUCACACAAUGCGUGCGUGUGUGCUCAGUUGCUUCAGUCAUGUCCAACUCUUUGAGACCCAUGGACUGUGGCCCACCAGGCUCCUCUAUCCUUGGAAUUCUCCAGACAAGAAUGCUGGAGUGGGUUGCCAUGCCCUCCUCCAGGGGAUCUUCCAACCCAGGAAUCAAACCCAUGUCUGCCUGCAUCUCCUGCAUUGCAAGCGGAUUCUUCAGUAGGAGCCACCUGAGAAGGGCCUAGUCACACAGUACCCAACCUGUUUUUGUUC
ensembl:lncRNA